GACGAACCGUGCGAACGUUGUUCGGAUUCACUGGGCUUAAAGGGCGCGUAGGCGGAUGGCCAAGUCAAGGGUGAAAGCCCCCGGCCCAACCGGGGAAGUGCCUCUGAUACUGGUCAUCUCGAGCGGGAUAGGGGCAGCUGGAACUUCCGGUGGAGCGGUGAAAUGCGUAGAUAUCGGAAGGAACGCCGGUGGCGAAAGCGGCGCGCUGGACCCCUCCUGACGCUGAGGCGCGAAAGCGUGGGGAGCGAACAGG
rnacentral:rRNA from 1 species